rnacentral:rRNA from 1 species
UGAGGAAUAUUGGUCAAUGGGCGAGAGCCUGAACCAGCCAAGUCGCGUGAAGGAAGAAGGUUCUAUGGAUUGUAAACUUCUUUUGUAAGGGAAUAAAAAGAGUUACGUGUAACUUAUUGUAUGUACUUUACGAAUAAGGAUCGGCUAACUCCGUGCCAGCAGCCGCGGUAAUACGGAGGAUGCGAGCGUUAUCCGGAUUUAUUGGGUUUAAAGGGUGCGUAGGCGGGCUGAUAAGUCAGUGGUGAAAGUUUGCAGCUUAACUGUAAAAUUGCCAUUGAAACUGUUAGUCUUGAGUGCAAAUGAGGUAGGCGGAAUGUGUUGUGUAGCGGUGAAAUGCUUAGAUAUAACACAGAACUCCGAUUGCGAAGGCAGCUUACUGGGAUGCAACUGACGCUGAUGCACGAAAGCGUGGGUAGCAAACA